rnacentral:rRNA from 1 species
UACGUAGGGGGCAAGCGUUGUCCGGAUUUAUUGGGCGUAAAGAGCGUGUAGGCGGUCCGGUAAGUCCGCUGUGAAAGCCAGGGGCUCAACCCUUGGAUGCCGGUGGAUACUGUCGGGCUUGAGUACGGAAGAGGGUAGUGGAAUUCCCGGUGUAGUGGUGAAAUGCGUAGAUAUCAGGAGGAACACCGAUGGCGAAGGCAGCUCACUGGGACGGUACUGACGCUGAGGCGCGAAAGCGUGGGGAGCAAACAGG